CGGGGGGCAGCAAUUAGGAAUCUUGCACAAUGGGGGAAACCCUGAUGCAGCGACGCCGCGUGAAGGAUGAAGGCCCUUGGGUUGUAAACUUCUUUUUUAGGGGAAGAAUAAUGACGGUACCCUAAGAAUAAGCCCCGGCUAACUACGUGCCAGCAGCCGCGGUAAUACGUAGGGGGCGAGCGUUGUCCGAAGUUACUGGGCGUAAAGCGCGCGUAGGCGGCUUUUUAAGUCUGAGGUGAAAGGUUCAGCGCUCAACGUGAACAUUGCCUUGGAUACUGGGAAGCUUGAGUGUGGGAGGGGGCAGUGGAAUUCCUGGUGUAGCGGUGAAAUGCAUAGAUAUCAGGAGGAACACCGAUGGCGAAGGCAGCUGCCUGGCCUAACACUGACGCUGAGGUGCGAAAGCGUGGGGAGCGAACGGGAUUAGAUACCCGAGU
rnacentral:rRNA from 1 species